rnacentral:lncRNA from 1 species
UGAGAUAACUGAGGCCCAGGAAAGUGAUGUGACUUGCCCAAGGUCACACAGCAAACAUGUGGCACAGCCUGGAUUAGAACCCACAUCCUCUGACUUCCAGGCCAGUGUUCUUUCCAUUAGCUUCAUCUCUAAUUUCCAAUAGCCUCACCUAUUGCCUCAUUUGUCUCUGAAGUGGCAAUAAUAAUAAUUGUGAAUUUGUUAAGCACUUAUAAUGUGCCAAGCACCGUACAAAGCUCUGAGGUAGGUACAAGAUAAUCAGGUCCUACAUGGGGCUCAUAAUCUAAGUAGGAGGGAAAAUAGGUACUGAAUCCUCAUUUUGCAGAUGCAGGAACAAAGGCACAGGAGAGUUAAGUGACUUGCCCAAGGUUAUGAAGCAGGUAAGUGGCAAAUCUAGGACUAGAACCCAGGUCCUCUGACUUCCAUGUCCAUGCUCUUUCUAUUAGGCCAUCCUGAUUCUCCAAAUGAUCCAUUUCUUCCAGUUUGCAGGACUAUGGUUUCAAGUUGGUUUGGCAGCAAAAUCAAUAGAAAUGAAUCCGGAAGGACCCAAGCCAAAACGAGCCUUAUUUGUAACAACUUCCUCCAAUCACGUGCAAUUCACCUACUUUCUAGAUGAUUCAACUGAAUGUAUUAAAGCAGAACGAUUUGGAGUACAGCAAAACAUACCAGGGAAAUACUAUUUUAAAGAUGAUAAAAUGUAUAUAACUGUUAUGAAAACGGAUUAUUCAAACUACGCCAUACUCCACGCCUUGAAGAAAAUAGGGCAAGAGAUGAUCCCUUCGGUGAUCUUUCUCAGUAAGUGAAAGGCUGAUGAACAAGAGAGUAGCUGUGCAGCACAGGGGGUGAGGAGGAGGGUGCAUGUGGCAACAGGAGCAGAGCCCACCCUGGAGGAGCCCCUGCCCCCAACCC